AGACCCGAAACCCGGUGAUCUAGCCAUGGGCAGGUUGAAGGUUGGGUAACACUAACUGGAGGACCGAACCGACUAAUGUUGAAAAAUUAGCGGAUGACCUGUGGCUGGGGGUGAAAGGCCAAUCAAACCGGGAGAUAGCUGGUUCUCCCCGAAAGCUAUUUAGGUAGCGCCUCGUGAAUUCAUCUCCGGGGGUAGAGCACUGUUUCGGCUAGGGGGCCAUCCCGGCUUACCAACCCGAUGCAAACUGCGAAUACCGGAGAAUGUUAUCACGGGAGACACACGGCGGGUGCUAACGUCCGUCGUGAAGAGGGAAACAACCCAGACCGCCAGCUAAGGUCCCAAAGUCAUGGUUAAGUGGGAAACGAUGUGGGAAGGCCCAGACAGCCAGGAUGUUGGCUUAGAAGCAGCCAUCAUUUAAAGAAAGCGUAAUAGCUCACUGGUCGAGUCGGCCUGCGCGGAAGAUGUAACGGGGCUAAACCAUGCACCGAAGCUGCGGCAGCGAACGUAUCACCCAAGACAACUUUACGGAGUUGACGAUUGACGGAGCGAAGCGACGUCAAAGCGUUCAUUAAA
rnacentral:rRNA from 3 species